UUGACACCCUGACACCCUGUCAUUACGCCACUGCAACCACAAGGCAAUGAACGGGUAGUCUGCAAAAAUUCAUCCUCGUCUUCAAGGCCUUUUUGAAUCGACGGCGACUCUCGUCGAGUGUUGAGUGGGGUUGAGUGACAUCCAGAAUCCAGUGGCAGUAAUGACAGUGACAUUUUGUGACAUCCUUGCCUCCAGGUUUCGGCCGCGGCGCGCCGCUGGCGCUUCGGAGUUCGGCUCAGUGGUUCGACCUCGCGGCUUGCAAAUAGAAUGGCGGUUGUUUUUCUUCAGCAAAUGUGAAAUGUAAAGAAAUAUUUCCAGUACUAUUUGGUAUAUGUUUAAGCCAAAAAUCUCAAGUUAUGCUUUAGUUGCUGGUUUAUUGCCAGAUUGACUGUUAUGCAACAUGCUCAUACCUCUACUGCAAAAUUGACUGACUGUUUCACAGCACAUUCGUAUACUUUUACAGCAAAUCAUUUUGACUGACUGUUUCACAGCACAUUCGUAUACUUUUACAGCAAAUCAUUUUGACUGACUGUUUCACAGCAGAUUCGUAUACUUUUACAGCAAAUCAUUUUGGAUGGAACAUGUGAGAAAUCCUUUUGACCUUUGUUACAUUGACCCAUUUAAAAGAUCACUAUUAAGCAAACUUUGACUGAGAGUUUUUUAAUGAUGCAUGUGUUACGAAUCAGUGCAGCGAACGAGUGUACUUAGCGAUCCUUCACAGAGAGGAAAUGAUUAACCGUACAAUAAGGGUGUAAUUGGUGCCUUCACAAGUAUUUCUGGCGUACAAAGACUUUCCGUAUAAAUGCUUCGCAGCCCUCACAGGUACCAGUUGUCAAGUCCAGUUAUAAGGGCAUCAUUGAUGGAAUCUGAUUGGUGAUACAAGUUACAACCGAAGCAAAAUUGAGUCUAACAUAUCCUCAUGUCCCUGCAUUUUGAUCAAAGGACUGAUUAAAACCCAUCAGCCAAAUAGACUAUAGACCAGGAAUUGUCUAGCAUUUAGAAACAAUGACUGUGAGUAUGUGGAACUUAUAAGACCUGAAAUGCAUUCCACCUAAAAGAAAACGUAUGUCUUACAAUAGUAAACCGCACAUACUAGUAUCCAUAUAAGUAGAUCACUGCUGCUUCAGUGUUUUAACACUGUUGAGUUCUAAUUAUUAUGGCUAUCAGGAAUAAACAAGUAAUUUAAGUCA